GUGCCAUCCAACUUUUGUGAAUACUUUUUAAAUUGUUUUUAUUACAAGCAUUUUAAGCCACCUGUUGCAAAGACCCUGUAGACUGCAUGGCCUGUUCUGCUAGAGUUCACUAUAGAGAUGGCUGUGGAGGUUGAUACUGGACGUGUUACCCUUCACUCUGAAGCUUCCAGAGGCCAUCGCGUCUGCCAGAACGUCUGCUUAUCUUGAGGAGGUUGCUAAACUUGGAACAGUGUGUUGUCAGCCUCACUCGUCGUGUUUCCCUGCUCGUUUUGGGAUUUUGGAUGUUGGAUUUCUGUUGGAAAACCUUUGUUUUUGGACUCUAU